rnacentral:rRNA from 1 species
GGGUGGUAAUGCCGGAUGCUCCAUCACAUCGCAUGGUGUGUUGGGAAAGCCUUUGCGGCAUGGGAUGGGGUCGCGUCCUAUCAGCUUGAUGGCGGGGUAACGGCCCACCAUGGCUUCGACGGGUAGCCGGCCUGAGAGGGCGACCGGCCACAUUGGGACUGAGAUACGGCCCAGACUCCUACGGGAGGCAGCAGUGGGGAAUAUUGCACAAUGGGCGCAAGCCUGAUGCAGCGACGCCGCGUGAGGGAUGGAGGCCUUCGGGUUGUAAACCUCUUUUGUUAGGGAGCAAGGCAUUUUGUGUUGAGUGUACCUUUCGAAUAAGCACCGGCUAACUACGUGCCAGCAGCCGCGGUAAUACGUAGGGUGCAAGCGUUAUCCGGAAUUAUUGGGCGUAAAGGGCUCGUAGGCGGUUCGUCGCGUCCGGUGUGAAAGUCCAUCGCUUAACGGUGGAUCCGCGCCGGGUACGGGCGGGCUUGAGUGCGGUAGGGGAGACUGGAAUUCCCGGUGUAACGGUGGAAUGUGUAGAUAU